UACAGAGGUCUCAAGCGUUGUUCGGAUUCAUUGGGCGUAAAGGGUGCGUAGGCGGCGCGGUAAGUCGGGUGUGAAAUCUUGGAGCUUAACUCCGAAACUGCAUUCGAUACUGCGGUGCUUGAGGACUGGAGAGGAGACUGGAAUUCAUGGUGUAGCAGUGAAAUGCGUGAGAGAUCAUGAGGAAGACCAGUGGCGAAGGCGGGUCUCUGGACAGUUCCUGACAGCUGAGACACGAAGGCCAGGGGAGCAAACGGG
rnacentral:rRNA from 1 species